rnacentral:rRNA from 1 species
AAGAGCUUGCUCUUGAUAUUUAGUGGCAAACGGGUGAGUAAUGUAAAGGAAUUUACCUAGCAGUACGGAAUAACUUUGGGAAACCAACGCUAAUACCGUAUACUACCAUUUAUGGGAAAGAUUUAUCGCUGCUAGAUGAGCCUUUAUCGGAUUAGUUUGUUGGUGGGGUAAUGGCCUACCAAGGCGAUGAUCCGUAGCUGGUCUGAGAGGAUGAUCAGCCACACUGGGACUGAGACACGGCCCAGACUCC